rnacentral:rRNA from 1 species
AACGAACGCUGGCGGCGUGCCUAACACAUGCAAGUCGAGCGAGAAAGCCCGCAAGGGUGAGUAAAGCGGCGCACGGGUGCGUAACACGUGGGUAAUCUGCCCUAGAGUCCGGAAUAACUCGCCGAAAGGCGUGCUAAUGCCGGAUGAGACCACGGGAGCCUCGGCUCCUGCGGGAAAAGGUGGCCUCUGUAUACAAGCUAUCACUCUAGGAUGAGCCCGCGGCCCAUCAGCUCGUUGGCGGGGUAAUGGCCCACCAAGGCUACGACGGGUAGCUGGUCUGAGAGGACGAUCAGCCACACUGGAACUGAGACACGGUCCAGACUCCUACGGGAGGCAGCAGUGGGGAAUCUUGCGCAAUGGGCGAAAGCCUGACGCAGCAACGCCGCGUGUGUGAUGAAGGUCUUCGGAUCGUAAAGCACUGUCGCGAGGGACGAAUAAGGGGCGGGCUAACAUCCCGUUCCGAUGACGGUACCUCGAGAGGAAGCACCGGCUAACUCUGUGCCAGCAGCCGCCGUAAAAC